rnacentral:tRNA from 1 species
GCCGACUUAGCACAGCAAGCAGAGCAACUGACCUGUAAUCACCAGGUCAUCAGUUCGAUUCAGGUAGUCGGCACCA